UUAAUUGAAGCCAAAAUGAGGCAUAUUAUUGUUAAUAAUACCAUUGAAUAACUAUUCCAAUUAAA
rnacentral:tRNA from 1 species